rnacentral:tRNA from 1 species
GGCACCGUAGCUCAGUGGUAGAGCGGGCGGUUCAUAACCGCCAUGUCGCUGGUUCGAGCCCAGCCGGUGCCACCA